rnacentral:rRNA from 1 species
CACGUAGGGCGCAAGCGUUGUCCGGAAUUAUUGGGCGUAAAGAGCUCGUAGGCGGUCUGUUGCGUCUGCUGUGAAAACCCGGGGCUUAACCCCUGGCUUGCAGUGGAUACGGACAGACUAGAGGUAGGUAGGGGAGAAUGGAAUUCCCGGUGUAGCGGUGAAAUGCGCAGAUAUCGGGAGGAACACCGGUGGCGAAGGCGGUUCGCUGGGCCUUGACCUGACGCUGAG